CCUACGGGGGGCUGCAGUGGGGAAUAUUGGACAAUGGAGGGAACCCUGAUCCAGCCAUGCCGCGUGUGUGAAGAAGGCCCUCGGGUUGUAAAGCACUUUCAGUGAGGAAGAACGCCUGGUGGUUAAUACCCAUCAGGAAAGACAUCAUUCACAGAAGAAGCACCGGCUAACUCCGUGCCAGCAGCCGCGGUAAUACGGAGGGUGCGAGCGUUAAUCGGAAUUACUGGGCGUAAAGCGCGCGUAGGUGGCUUGAUAAGCCGGUUGUGAAAGCCCCGGGCUCAACCUGGGAACGGCAUCCGGAACUGUCAAGCUAGAGUGCAGGAGAGGAAGGUAGAAUUCCCGGUGUAGCGGUGAAAUGCGUAGAGAUCGGGAGGAAUACCAGUGGCGAAGGCGGCCUUCUGGACUGACACUGACACUGAGGUGCGAAAGCGUGGGUAGCAAACAGGAUUAGAUACCCGAGUAGUC
rnacentral:rRNA from 1 species